UCGGCGGCCAUAUUUUUUAGCCACUAAUCAUUCGUAAAUCGUUAUCCUAUGAAUAUUUAUCCAGGGAGUAAGUUGUCGUAUAGUCAGAGGUACAGUUAAUAAGUUAGUAUUCUGUGCAUUCUCUGUGACGAUGGUGUUGGUAUCAGAGUUGUAAAUUGACAUCUUCCUCGUGAACAUGGGUCACAAAGCUCUUGGAAUGAAGAAAAACCGUUAUGAAAGAAUUAGAUUAUAAGGAAAAACAGAUGAAUUAAACAUUUGGCCUUUACAACUGACGUAACAAAGAAGAAUCUUUUGUUGACUUGUAACUAACAGUAGAUUCCAUAUAUGGGUAAUUGCUGCUGUCCAAAACCUGACACCUCCGUUGACGAGGUACCGUUUAUAAAAGAGGAGAAUUGUGAAUUGCAGUGGAAAUGCGUUGAUGAAUCAACUAAACAUAAACAAUUGUUUUUAAAAAUGAUUAAAUAUGGACAAGAUCCCAAAGUCAAGGUUGAACAUAUAAGUGAUAAAAAGUCCUGCUCAAGAAUGCCACAACUACAGCAUGGUUUUGUGAUCAAGUUGGUCUGUGGUACAACCUGAUGACAUCACGUUCUUCAACAAUGGGUUUCAGUCUCUACACACAUGAAAAACAUACAGAAGUUGUAUCUUUCCUUGAAUCAAUCAUUAAACUUUUUACCCAAUUGAAAAUAAGAUCAGAAUCAAAUGCCAAGUGGACACCUGCGCAAACAGGAACAAUUCUAGCAACCAAAACCAUUCUUGAACUUCAGAACUGCUUCAUUUUGGAAAAACAAUACAAGUUCCUUCAGACCAGCUGCUUCACACAAGAUUGCACCCUUGCUGGCCAGAGUCGACCAAAGAUCGUAUUUUUACGUAAAGUUUGCACUAAUAUUGAGCUGUACAGUUUUCUGGGAGAGGUCUCACUGGUCCCGUGUUCAUCAACAGCCACCGUCAGAAAAAUUAAAAAACAUGAAACUCUCAUCAAAUGUUAAUGAAAAGAAUCCAGUCACAUCAACUGGUGCUCCGUUGACAUCGGAAAUUACAGGUACCGAUGACUUUCAAUUCUUCAAAAAAAAAUUUCUCACCGACGAUUUCAAAAUGAGCAAUGACGUGCAUAAGAAAUUGAAAAGCUUUGAUUGGUUUUGUGGAAAAUGUGGAACAGCGGGUCCAACUGACCAGAUGCCAUAUCGUCACUUGUACAUGGUCGUUGAUUACGCUAACGGAAUAACUGAUCAUAAUAUGAAACAAGAAAUCAACUAGAAACUUGGUUGGCAAGCUUCAAAGUACAUCGAAUUCCGACCAAACGACCCGUCAAAGGUGUGGAAGGUUCGACCUCUAUCCAACAAGCGACUGGAAGUGGAACGCGAUGAUAUUCCUUACAUGCGAUCCACUGGCACGUUUUGGAAAAACUGAGGAUCUAAUGUUUAAUUUUGAUGACGACGACGGAAGAUCCGUAUUUUGUAACGCAGUGUUGGUAAAAAGUGAUGUUAAGUUUCUAAUGGACGGAGAUUCAGGAUCUCUUGUGUAUUUUUGUGAUGAUGAAAACAAGAAAAAACGACGUUUUGCAUAUGGUGUUGCUGAAUUGAGGAAGAAAGACCAAAACGGAAAAGUGGAGACGUUCUACAUUUGCUUGAGAUUAAAAGAUGCUUUGGAAAAAUUGGAACUUAUGGAAAAAAAGUCGUAAAAUUGAAUGAAUUCCUUAGAUUGUUUAAUAUCCCAAUUUCUUUCCCAAGCAAUUUUUCCUGCAAAAUAAUUACCUUCUCUGUAACCGUAAGUAACCUUUGUUAUAAUUUUGUAGUUUGUCAUUGUCCAUUGAAAAUCAACUGCCCCUUCUUCAAAGAAAUAGUCUUUAAGAGCAUUUCUGAUUUGUCUUGCAUGAAUUGAUGAUGGGCGGGCACUGGCAUCUGGCUGGAUGUCACAUACUUCAUUUUCAUUGCCUAAUUGUGUUCUCCAAGAACCAUUCACAACAUUUCCUUCCCUGACCCUGGUACUUCUGAGUAAUCAAAAGGUUAUGCAGUGCCAUACAGGCUCUCACCACCUGCAUUGCAUUUGGAACAUCCAACUCCAAUGUUUUCAAAAGACAUCUGAAUCGACUACACAUCAAUACAAAUGCAUUUUCGACAAUUCUUUGUGCUCGUGAAAGUCUGUAGUUAAAAACUUUCUCAUCACCUAUCGCAGUCCGGUGUGGAUAUGGCUUCAUUAGAUUUUCAUUCAAAGCAAAUGCCUCAUCUCCAAGCAGAAAGUAAGGGAAUUUCAUUGGUAGACGACCGUCGUCAUGGAUUUACUUGCAAACGUUUGUUCAUAAUUCCCGACACUCGCUAAGUUUGGCAGGAAGACGUUUUACAACGAAGACAAAUUUAAAAAAACCUAUGGACCUUUUCGAAGAAGCCAAUCAUGACGUCAACUUCCAUAAACUUCUAGACAAAAGUAAGAAUAUUAAAGCUGACGUUCACGAGGCUCUACAAAGUUGUUCGUGGCUUAGUGGGAAGUAUGGAAUAGCUCGCCCAAACAAGAAGAUGCCGUUUCUUCAUUUGUAUGUCACAAGCACAAUUGAUUUUGAGAAAGAAAAUUCGGAGGCUGCUAUCAAAAAUGAGAUCGAUGAAAAGUUAAAAUGGAAAGCAUCGAAAUACAUCGAAUUACGAUAUAAACCAUUGAAAGAAGCAAAGUUUCGAAUGCUGUAAAAGCGAAAACUUCAUUUAUUUACUUUCCACUGUAGAUUUUUAAACAGCUAGAUUUGAUGAGUGAGUAAAAACAGAUGGAUAUUACAUACUGCACGUUUCUAUUCAUUUACAUUGUCAUGUAGUUACUCUUACUAUAAAAACAUUUACUAAGUAUUUGCCAUUCAACAUGACUAAUUUCAGUACUUUGCCGUCAUGUAUUUAUAAAUAAAUAUUUGUUUGGUUUGCA